AGGUUUUAGAACUGUCUUCAUCGUAUUGUCCAGAAAUAUCAAGUUAUAAAGAAGGAAAAAUAUUACAACAUAAUCAAGGGACGGAUAAUUUUGUAAUAGAAAUGUUUACUCCAAAUGUAACUCGUAC